AGAGUUUGAUCCUGGCUCAGAACGAACGCUGGCGGCAGGCUUAACACAUGCAAGUUGAACGGGAUUGUUAAGUAGCUUGCUAUUUAACAAGAGAGUAGCGCACUGGUGAGUAACACGUGGGAACGUACCUUUUGGUGGGGGACAACAUCUGGAAACGGAUGCUAAUACCGCAUAAGACCUGAGGGUGAAAGAUUUAUCGCCGAAAGAACGGCCCGCGGAAGAUUAGGCAGUUGGUGGGGUAAAGGCCUACCAAACCUACGAUCUAUAGCUGGUCUGAGAGGACGAUCAGCCACACUGGAACUGAGACACGGUCCAGACUCCUACGGGAGGCAGCAGUGAGGAAUAUUGGGCAAUGGAGGCAACUCUGACCCAGCCAUGCCGCGUGAGUGAAGAAGGUUUUCGGAUUGUAAAGCUCUUUCGGAUGUGACGAUGAUGACGGUAGCAUCUAAAGAAGCCCCGGCUAACUUCGUGCCAGCAGCCGCGGUAAUACGAAGGGGGCGAGCGUUGUUCGGAAUUACUGGGCGUAAAGGGUGUGUAGGCGGUUAUGUAAGAUAGCGGUGAAAUCCCGGGGCUUAACCUCGGAAUAGCCGUUAUAACUAUGUAGCUAGAGUUAUGGAGAGGAUAGCGGAAUACCCAGUGUAGAGGUGAAAUUCGUAGAUAUUGGGUAGAACACCGGUGGCGAAGGCGGCUAUCUGGCCAUAUACUGACGCUGAGGCACGAAAGCAUGGGGAUCAAACAGGAUUAGAUACCCUGGUAGUCCAUGCUGUAAACGAUGAAUGCUAGUUGUCGGCAAAAGCCGGUGACGCAGUUAACGCGAUAAGCAUUCCGCCUGGGGAGUACGGUCGCAAGAUUAAAACUCAAAGGAAUUGACGGGGACCCGCACAAGCGGUGGAGCAUGUGGUUUAAUU
rnacentral:rRNA from 1 species